rnacentral:lncRNA from 1 species
CUCCCUUGCUUUAGCAUCCGAUCCGUUACAUAAGUUAUCCAUGUCUCUUGGGAGUUUGUCAAUUUUUGAGCAUCCUUGCAUUCGGAGUCUUCUAAGAGACUUCAAAUUACAAAUAGUCGUCGGAAGGUUCAAGAGAUAUGAGCAACCAACUAGACACAACUCCUGGAGGCCAACCAAAUGUCCAAUUGAUGAAGCUAUUUUCUCUAUCAGAGUCGCACUUAAGUCAAUCGAGGACACAUUCUUCAUCUGCUCCCCAAAUUCUGGAAUCUUUUUCACAUCUGAGUUGCUAAGACUUAAAGAUUCCAGAGAAUCCAUUUUAAGCUCACUUGGGAGGCUCUCAAGUUUUAAGUAGCAUUCAAAAUUCAAGUUCAAGUUUUUUAAGAUGUGCAAUAGACGGGUGUAUCUCAACUAAAUUGAAACAACCUCGAAGAUUCAACUUCACAAGAUUUGGAACACCACUGAAAUCCGGGUACUCUUCAAUUUACCUGAGUUUCUAAGAUCGAUCCAUCUCAAGUUGGGCAAGUCCUGUACAACAUCGAUAAGAUUCAGAUCAUAUAAAUAAAUAAAUAAAUGAUUAUUUUGUAUAUUAAAUAGCAUUUAUUCAAGGAUGAAUAAUAAUUAUGUACUCACUAGUGAGUACUCUAUAUGCUCAUUUUUGUUUUGGUUCUUGUUCUUUAUUUUUAAAGCCCAAGAAAAAUUAAAUAGCAUGUCCAUUAUUUUUGAAAAUAAUAAAAUAUACUUGUCCAAAAAGUGAGUACUGAUUAGUCACUACCCAAGUGGUAUCAUUUUAUUCAACACUACUCUCAUCACUUUUUUUUUUUUUUAAUGGUAAAAAUACUACUCUUACCACUUUUCCCUCCCAUAACCGAACAAGACUGCUUCCAUACAUGUGAAGUUCAGUAAGGUGGCGCAUGGGAAAGUUGGUUGGAAGAAAAUUAGAAGGAUAUUGAAACCAGUAUAUAUAUCUCAAUGAACACGGAAGAAAUUUAGGGCCUGAAGAAAAGAAAACUUGAUCGAUUGUCAAAAUCCUCAAUCUAUCCAUCUUAGAGAAGGCUUCCCAAUUCCACUCGCGUUUCACAUAUGUUAUAGGCAUGUGUAAUGAUAUGACUUCAAUUGCACUCAAACCCUGACAAUUAAGAAAAAAAGACAAAUUAAUUUCACAUUCAAGUAUAUUAGUGUCAAAAGUUCAUUCAAACUUGGUAUUUUACUUCUUACCAUAUUGGUCGCCAUAUUGGUCGUGAAUACAUGAGAAAUGUCAUCGUUAAGCCACAACCUACUGCGUAGACCAGACUCUUUAGACCUGUGACCAAUAAUUGUCCAUGCCAUUUCUUCUAUCAAAUCAUGCAUCCGUAUGCAUUUUUGGUGAUCUUGAUAGAGGAGAAAUCUCUCAAUUAGUACAUCUAUCACAAUAUGGCUAGAGAUUCCAAAAGAAUUAGAACUAUCUAGACUUUCAAUUACUUGCUUCCUGUAAUACCCUUUGUAGAAACAUGCAACAUCGAGAAAAUGCUCUUCUCCCACUCUUCUAGUGCAUCAUAACUUACUUUAAGUUUAUCAAAAAUAGCUGGAUUAGGAAUUUUUGAUAGAUUAUCCCGUACACUAUGCCAAGCAUCUAGCCCUCUCUUAAACAAAGCCGACCCCAAAGUUUCAAGAGCUAAUGGAAGGCCUCCAGCAUGAUUGUCAUAACAUUCAUCAUAAUUAUCAAUCACAUUAUUAAAAAGAUAGUUAAACACACACACACACACACACACACAUAUAUAUAUAUAUAUAUCACAAUCUUCAUCAGUGCACGAGCCAAAUCCUAUUUAAUAAGCAUAUGAUGGCUAUAUAUAUAUAAAUCACAUUUCAAUAAAAAUCAUAUUUAUAAGACUAAUUCAUAUUCACAAUUGAUACCAAAUAAGAAAUUCAGAUAAUAAACAUAUCUCAUAUAUUCAAGUCACUAUCUAACUAACAUAGGUCCACUGGUCACGCACCGUCGCAUGAGCCGCUGCGGGUGGCGGUUGACUGCCCCGACUCACCGGAAAAAUUCAACUAUCUUUAAAAAUUACCAAAAAUUACAUAAAUGAAGAUCUCAAGGAGUAGAGCAAACUUUAUACCUGUGGCCAAGUCUAAUUUGGCCGGGAAGGCCCUCAAAUUGGCUCGCACCCGUCGAAACCCUAAAGUGGGUGUUCUUCAAUUUGGCUCCCUUGGUGUUCCAACGCCCCAACCACCAAUUGGGUCUUGUUCUUGGGUCCAAGGGAAGUUGAUUAAGGGUGAUGGUGAAUGGUGAUACUCACCAGAAUGACGAAUCGCCGUCAAGAACCCCCGGUUUUUCGGUGGAGUUCUACUCGAAUUAGACCUUAAAAACCCUUGAUUUUUGGUGGAGAUGGAAGGAGGAAGGUAGCUGAGUAGGUUGCAGGUGAUGAAUGGGUGCAAAACGCCUAAAAAAUGAAGGAUUUUGGCCUGACAUUGGCUGGAUCGAAACCAUUUUUUUCAUGGGUGCUUGGGUUUACAAAUUUGGGGGGGGGGGGGGGGGAGGGGCAUCCUUUCGCUCAUUUUCUUUUCUUCUCUUGCCACUCCCGUGGCUUUCUUUUUUUUUUUUUUUUUUUUUUUAAAGCAACACAACUUCAUACGUCCGUAACUAUACUGUUAUAAUCCGGACUCGCAAACGGUUUUCGCCUAUGCGUUCAUGACUUCAAGACCUAUUCGAAAACGUUACUUGUGACCUCGAAAAGUCAACGAGUAAAUAAUAAUUUUCCAAACUUCGCUCUUCAUAACUAGUUUAAUUGAAAUCUAAUUUCAAAUAAAUUAAUAUAAAUUCUCGAAAAAAUAAUAUAAAUCUCAAUAAUACAAAUACGUAGAUUAUAACAGUAAAAUCCAAGAAUGGGAUUUCACGUCUUUACCGUUAGAGACACCGUUAUAUCUUGGAGAUCUACCAAGCAAACGCUAGUUGUGACUUUGUCGAACUAUGCUGAGAUUUUCGCCCUGCAUGAAGCAUCGCGUGAGUGCUUUUGGUUGAGAGAAGUCAUGGGACAUAUUUGAAGCAUUAGUGGUCUUACAUCAGUCGUUGACCCUCCUACGACGAUCUUUGAAGACAAUGCAACAUGUAUCGAGCAGUUAAAGAAGGGAUACAUCAAGGGAGACAACACCAAGCACAUAACGUCGAAGUUCUUUUACUCACACCAACAGCAGCAGCAGCAUCAAAACAUUGAAGUCAAGCAAAUCCGUUCCCAGGAGGAUAACUUGGUCAAUCUCUUCACCAAGUCAUUGCCCAAGUUUACUUUUCAAAAGCUUGUCCAAGGAAUCAUUAUGCGUAAAUUAUCUGAGUUAAAUCGCAUGUAGUUCUCUUAUUUAGAAGUUAUGGCUAGCUCAGGGGGAGUAUCUAGAAGCAUACUUACAUGAUCUUAAUGUACUCUUUUUCCUACGAUUAGGAGCAUUUUUUUCCACUGGGUCUUUGCUACCUAACGAGGUUUUAACGAGGCACCCAUCCUGGGAUGAUCAUACUCCGUUGAGUUCACUACUUUCGUCCUGUUUGACAUUUGUUUUAGAUAUUAUGCAUACUUCUCACCUUUCUCCUUAAUCUAUGGGUUUUCCUCGUGCCUUGGGUAUUACCAUAGUUAGGUUUUGUGAGUUUUACUACAAAUGCAUACUUCCUUAAACUUGAGACUCGCGAUCACCCGUUGUGCCAAUGACUUCAUCAACAAUUCUACCUUAUCGCUGAAUAUCUAAUGCGAUGUUUGUUGAGUAUUUACACACUCAAGGGGGAGUGUUGCAGUCAUAUUUAGAAUAAGAAUGUGAUUGUGUAAAUCCUUAUAGUUAUGGGAAUGUAUCUUAUAUUCCUAUUAAUUAUGAGUUUAUUAUCUAUUAAAUGUUGUAAUCAUAAAAGGAAAGGUUUACCUAUUCUACUACUAUAAAUAAAGGCACAAUGAGGUAAAUUAAACACACCUCACAAUUAAAUCACUCUCUCUUCUCCCUCACUACCUCCGGCCCAUCUCUCUUUCUAAACCCUAAGAUCGUUCAAUCAAAUAGGCCUACAACAAAAACUAGUUUCUUGAGCUUUCAAAAUUUGUAUUUUGAGCUUUAAUUUUAGUUUCUAAUCAACACCAUGACACAAGCCAUAAAGUAACAAAACCAAUAAAAUGUCAACUGAAAACGUUAUAUGUGAAAAAGAACAAUGAAUUACAUGAAAUGAAAACGUCAAAGUAGGCAUGUAGUCAACCUAUGUUGUCACGCCACAAAUUAAAGUACAAUGCGAGCUGGUGACAAAUUUGAGCCACACCGCGGUAAUUCAUGCAAUGUAAAUCUCUCUCAAAGAAGCAACAAGAAAAUCCUCAUGCAAGAGUUCUCCACUUUCUUACUCGUUCAAGAGGAAAGCUGAAAGGACAAGUAUUUUCCAAAAAAAAAAAAAAAAAAGGUGGAAGACAGACUAUGGAAAUUUUCCAGGAAGCAAGAGUUUAGAGUAAGUUCUCAACUUUCUUCUGAGAAAAGAUAUUCAUGUCUCUUUUUCUUUUCUCUUCAGUGAUGCUAAAGCCAACUAGUUAUCUUAUUUCUACAGCCACUUUCCAAUACUUGUUCCAAAGAUUUUCCACAAAAAAAAGUAGAAGACUGACUACAAGGAAAAUAUUUAUGUCACCCACCAUGAAAUUUGUAUAUAGGUUUUUUUCACACAUCUGUUCAUUAGGUCCACUAACAAUGUUGAAGUCAUUGUGGAAUAUGCUGAGAUUUCCCCUGUCAUUUAGACAAACCUUCUCAUGGUUACACCCUACCCCCAGCAAUUGGCAAUAUCAAAUCUGAUAAAACUAGUCAAACAAAUGACAAGCCUUCAAUGCAAGCUGCAAUGUAAGAGUUGAGUUGAAAUGAUCCAUACAUCAAAUAAAAUGAUCAUUCAUAAGAAUCAUGAAACCUAGGCUAAGUUCCAUGGGCUCUUAAGGUCCCUCAUCAAAACAUAGAAUAACCACUGCAUUUGGAUGAUGGUAUUUAAAGUUCCAUGAAAACAAGGCUACACCUUCAGAAACGCACUACAAAAAAAUAGAUAGAGGGGCUUCAAAAUGACUAGAUGCAAACAUUUGAGAGAAAUUUCAAAUGAUACCUUGAAAGUCCUUUGUUGCGUGUCAUUCUACUGCACUACUUGUGUUUUAGUAGUAACUUUGUAGUGCUUUAGUAUAGUUUAUCAGUAGUGUUCUUGUAGUGCAUCUUUAACAAUUAAGUCUAAAGUUUGUCCCUCAUUCAAAGACAUAACAAAACACCACAACUCUAAGUUAUAUACAAAAAACACUUCAAGAGCUCAAUGAAGAAAAAAAAACUUGUCUAUCCACUUGUCAUGCUCUAAUUGAUUCUUAGUUGGAAAAUCCUUCUCCAUCAUCAAGUAAGUUGGUUUUUUUUUUCUUUUCUUUUUUAACUAUUGGGUUUGAAGUGGUUUUCUCUAAAGAUCAAGUAUCGUCAUCUUCCAGGAGAAUCUACUCACUAAAUUCGUUAUCUCUUAUAAGAAGUAAUGCUAGGAAGACAAAAUUUAUAGACUAUAAUUGCAAACUAAAUGAUGUGUCACUAAUAAGAAAUGAGCAUGUUUAUCAACGUUUAAGUAAUAAUUCAAUCAUCAACUUCCAUGUCAUUUAGUUUACAAAACUUAGUCUACAAAUUUAGUCUUUCUAACAUUACUCAUCUUUAAGUUAGGAAAUGAACGAAUUAGUUUUAAAAUGAAAGCGAAAUAUGGUACAACAGAGUUUACAUAGUUUCUACUUCUUUAUACGUACACCAGUUUCUACUUCUUUACACAGUCAAAAUCAAUAAAAUUAACAUAACGAACCGUCGAUGAAUGCCCCGUCACUAAAACGCAGCAUAACAUAUGUCAUAUCUACUGCUUUCCUAGUAAAACCGACAUCUUUAUGGCCACAAACUUACAUGAAUCAACUUCAUGAAAUCUAAUUUCUGAUGAUCAAUAGAAUUCAAUUGUUAUGUAUGUGAUAUCGGCAGGGUUGGAUCAACCGGAGCUUGAAUUUUUCGUUAAGAUCGAACAUAACUGAUUUUUCUGAUUUGCAGUGCCCUUUUAUUAAUGGCAGAACUGAUUCUAUUGUCUAAACCCCUUUGUCUAAAGUAUUGUAAUGAGCAGCCACGGGUACGACACUAUCUUCAAGUGGUGAUAAUCUUUACCACCUUAUUUAGCCAUUUUGGAGAAAAAGUAUUUGAAAAUUAAAAAAAAAAAACAAAUAAAGGAUGAGGUGAAAUUGGCCAGCUCAAUAAUUUUCUUCCCUUUUUUUGAAGCGCAUUCCGGAAACUUACUAAAAAUUUGGGUAAAUUUAUAGACAAGAAACAGUAAUGCAACUUGGCACAAAUAGCAGGAUUUCAAAAACCAAAAGCUGAAUUACUCACUACAAUCCAAUGUCUUCAGGAUUUUAGCAAUUAAUUAUGUCACUAAAUUAAUUGAGCUAUUUCCACGGAGGCUCUACGAAUUAUAAAUUAAUCGGACAUUGUACAAUUACAAAAGGAGCCACCAUGCGCCUCAGAUAGUGUUAUUUGAGAUAGAAUCUAUUAUACUUUGAUUGGUGAAGACAAUGAAAUAACGGAAUAUGUGAAUUGAAAAUGAAUUGAACAUAUGACUCAUUAUCUCUUAGUUCAAGAAGAGACCUGAAAACCUUAGUGACCCAUGUACCACCUUACAACCGUAGAAAAGAAAAACAAUCGUACGGGACAAAGACAAUACACAAUUCUAGAUAUUUCAGUAAUCAAAACAUAAGUUUCUGUGCAAGAGGUAACCUUUUAUAGUCCUUUUGAAUCAUGUGCCCUGCUUCAGUUCCCUUACCAAACUGGAUAAAAGUCUUAUCCAAGGCAAUCCCUCCUAAUCCUGUGUUACAAACGGGUCCAAAAUACUCCAUCCAAGUUCUGCCCAUCACCCAAACAAGCAGGCCCAGUUCUUGUGCGACAUAGCUAACUUUUUACUUGGGACCUAAAAUUGGGUUUCAGUCGAUCAGUCAAAUGGGGCAAUUUUCCCUAUCAAGUCGCUCCGUCUCCCAGUCCCUCUCUCUCAUUUAUUCGACUGGUUGAAGCUUUCAAGUAUCAAGAUUGGCAGAAGCAUCCGCAGAAAUCCAGAUGGGAAGAAAAUCCUGGUACUACUCUAUCACUGCUUCUCUACAAUUUUCCCGGAAAGUUUCUGCAUUUGGGUUUACAGCAAUGCAUUCAUCUCGUCCAUUUCUCUUCUGUGUCCUUUUCUUUUUCGUCUCCAACCUCAGUUUCCCUUCGCUUUCUGUCCCGUUCUUGCCUGCGACGAACAAUAACCUCACCCUCUUAGGCGACGCUUCCAUCACCAACAACGCCAUUAGUCUCACUAAAGAACUCACCACAUGCCCCUCCUCUUUCCCUUCUGCUUCUUCUGGCGUUGGAAGAGCAUUUUACGCCUACCCAAUUCGGUUUCUUGACUUGAAAACCAACGCCACUGCCUCUUUCUUGUGCCGAUUCUCUUUCUCAAUCACUCCAAGUUCCCAAUUGUGUUCUUCUGGAGAUGGCAUUGCGUUUGUGAUCACCCCCGAUGUUGAUUCUCUGGGAUCAUCCAGAGGUGGAGUAUAUGGGACUUCUGGAGCCAUCCUCAGUGUCAAAAGAAUAGUUCUUCGCCAUGGAAUUCGAUCCUAGGUUUGAUCCUAUGGUUGGUGACACCAAUGGUAACCACAUUGGUAUUUAUGUGAACACGGUUGUGUCUGUUGACUGUGUUGAUGUUGUGUCAAGAGGAUUUGAUUUGACAAGUGGGAGGGAGAUUACUCCUUGGAUUGAGUACAGAUGCUGUCAAGCUGAUUCGGGUUUGGGUUGGAUACUCUUGAACUAGGCCUCCAACGUCUCUGCUUAAUGCUCCGAUUGACCUCUUCAACCAGUUCAUGGGUGUCGGUUUCUCUGCCUCGAAUGGGCAGGGCUCUUCAAUUCAUAUUGUUGAUAGGUGGAGAUUCAAGACUUUCAGGUCUCUUCCACCUGGGAUUCUUACAGAUACCUUUGAGGAAGGGGACUGCUUCAUGUGCUCGUCACCAGAAGAUUCAAGUACCAAAAGCAGCCCUGAAAAUCGCUGCCAUGAAAGGAAAACAAAGACAGUGGAGAUGGCUCUUGGGUUGGGAGGUUUAGCUACAUAUGUUGUCUCCAUACUCACGUUUGUUUUUGUCAUUUGUUUUGUGUGUGUGAAGAAGAGAAGGGUCGCAUCAGCUAAGGUUUGUAAAGGGUCUUUGCCCUCUGAGGGAGAAGUGGCAGUGAAAAGGUUUGAGAGGGCUGAUGGGAUCGGUAGUCUGCGUAAUCCUUUCACCACGGAGUUUGCAACUAUGGUGGGUUGUUUGCGGCAGAAGAAUUUGAUUCAGCUUCAUGGGUGGUGUUGUGAGGGUAAUGCGUUAGUCCUGGUGUACGAAUACAUUGCCCAACGGAAGUCUCAACAAAGUUCUCCACAAAAGCUUCAAUUCAGCAGUUGUCCUAUCCUGGAAGCAAAGACUUGAUAUAGUUCUCGCAGUCGCUUCUGCUCUUGCAUAUCUUCACGAGGAGUGUGAGAGGCAAAUAAUUCAGAGAUGUUAAAACUUGCAACAUAAUGCUCAAUGCAGAUUUUAACUCCAAACUAGGGGAUUUUGGUCUAGCAGAAGUGUAUUGAUCACAGUUCCAUCAUUGCAAGAGAAGCAACUAUACCAGCUGGAACAAUGGGAUAUCUUGCUCCAGAAGACGUUUAUUCAGGUGUUCCAACAGUUAAAACUGAUGUUUACAACUUUGGUGUGGUGGUGUUAGAGGUGGCAACGGGAAGAAAGCCGGUGGAGGAUGAUGGAACAGUGGUUGCUGAUUGGGUUUGGAGCAUGUGGGAAAAUGGAAAACUGAUUGAAGUUGCUGAUCUGAGGUAUAUGGGGAAGUUUGAUAUGGAAGAAAUGGAGAGGAUGCUAAUGACUGUACUUGCUUUUGUGCACCCAAACCAUGUGAAGAGGGCAACGGUGAAGGAAGCUGCAAGGAUUCUUAAAGGCAAAACCCCUCUUCCUCUGCUGCCACCAAGAAAACCAAGGGUAAGCCUUCGCCCCGUUUUUCCUGAUGACUGAAGAAAUCACAUUUUGCUGUGGUGUUUGGCCAAGUCUCGAACUUGAUGAUGUACAAUAUACUGAUUUACGGGUUUGUCUGGUUUUUGCGGAAGGACCCUUUGGAAACUGAACAGAAAAGGUAAUGCUGUUUCUGGACCGCACCACCAGUUUCCAUUAGUUACAAAAACAAACUGAAACAAGUCAAUUCUUCCUUUCUAUAAAAAUUUGAAAUAUAAGUCCCUGAUGUUAACAUUAAAGGUGUUUUCAGAAAAUGAACCUCAAGAUUAGCAAUGACAUCAAGCAAGAUAAAUCACAAGGAAGAAACAUAGAGGCCAACUCCACGGCGCUAGGAUAGUACUCCUCGUACUUCAAGUCCAGCUCCUCCAAUUCCUCCCAAGCUUAUGAUGGGGACUGGUUUUACAGUGAACUGAAAUGAAAUUAAAAAAUGAAAAACUCUUUGUUAGUGUUAGAUUUCUGGAUUAUAAUAUUUUAGAUUUUGUAAGGAAGAAGAAUUUGGAAUUGGAUUUUUGGGUUUUGGAUUUUGGAUUUUCUGGCAAGAGCAGAAUUGCAGAGAGAAUUUCAGAUGAAAUGACACUUUUUUCAUUCACACAAUGAGGGUGGCCUGUCACCAGUCAACAAGAUAUAAUCCUAACUAUCCAAAUAAGUCAUCCUAUGAGAUGCUUACACAUGGUAUGAGCCAUGGCUUCUUCAAAUAAGACAACUAUAAAACUAAUGGUACACAUGGACAAUGAUCCGAUGGUCCACAUUACAAGCUCAAUAUCAAAUUCUAUAUCAAUCUUCUUAAGGAAUUAUUGUUGACACUCUAAAAAUCUCAUUUUACAUUCUAAACUUUCUAUAAUUAAAAAAAAUACACUUGUGAAGAGUAUAAAAUGAGAUAUUUGAAAUGCUAAUAACAGUUCUCUCUUCUUAAUGCAAUCAGCAAAAGUGUUUAUUCAUCAACAUUCUUAUCCACUCGCCUUUCAAUAAAUAUGGUCAUCUUGAUAUAUAUAGCUUGUGAGAUUUGAGUCAAUUGACUAAAAUAUUUUUAAAAACAAUUAAGUUGAUGAGAUAAACCGACGGUGACUUACCUACAUUUAUUAUAAGAUGGUGACAAACAAUGCCUUUUGCGGAUUUGUUUUGUGUCGUUGAAGCUCACACUUCCAAAUCCACUUGGAGCUGCCUUGUCACAAUAUUCACGUGUUCGUUUCAGGAUUUUGUGUUUGGUUGAGUUCUUCCAAAUCUUGCUUGUAUAGCAAACGAGCCCCACACUUCUUCACACGAAUCCAGUAUACUUUUUCUCCUUCCCUACUAACACCAUCAAAGUAGGUUUCGAAUAAAAACUCAUCUUGACAACAAUCUCGACGAAGCAAAUAGAAUACCCAAAGGUGUUCUGACUCUAGAGACCUUAUUUUUUUGGUCCAAAUCCUAGGGCCAUCCAUAUAAGAAAAACACCGAAUUUCGAAAUAAUCAUAGAGAUGAAGACCAGCUAGAAUGACCCAGUUUGGCGUAAGAUCUUGAAAAAGAACACAAAAGGCAAUCCCCAGCCAGUUGGUACAUGAUGGUGGAGGAAGCUCCACAUUUACUGAAUGUCCCACACUCUGAAUACUGAACCACUUUGGAAUUUCACUUCCAGGGCAUAACAUACCUCUCAUAAAAUUUGAGAUUCCCUGUAGUAGAAGAAAUAUCAAUUAUUUAGAGAGAGAGAGAGAGAGAGAGAGAGGGAGAGAUAGAAGAUCAAUUAUUUAGAGAGGAGGGGGGGGAGAGUACCUCUUGAUCAGUGGCAAAUUUUAGAAUCCUUGAGAGUAUUGUAUUAAUCCAGCCUUCAUUUGGAACCAAUGCAAUGCAAUUCAGGCAAGUGAAAUUAAAAUCAUACAAAUUGGCGAAUCUGCUAUUCAACUUGGAUGGAUCUGACAAACUUCGCAAGGAAGUACAAUUGUCUACAUCUACAUGUAAUUUGCUAUUAGAUGGAAGAGGUGGCAAUUUUUGAAGGCUUUUGCACCUCUCCAGAUCAAGAUACGAAAGCUUAGAAAGGCGUCUAAUGCUUUCAGGUAGACUGACGAAAUUAUUUCCACUAAGAUCCAAUCUUUCGAGAAAGGACAAGCAGCCAAUAUCAUCGGGGAUAUCUCCUUCACGGAGUUUACAAUCUUUUAGAGAUAACUCUGUUAACUCUGUCAAAGAGCAUAAACUAUUUAGAGAAGACAACACCAAAUCCAAACAAGGAGGAUCAGGACGACUCUUUCCAAGUCCUAGUAAGCGGAGAAGGCCCCACCCCUCCCUUGCUUUAGCAUCCGAUCCGUUACAUAAGUUAUCCAUGUCUCUUGGGAGUUUGUCAAUUUUUGAGCAUCCUUGCAUUCGGAGUCUUCUAAGAGACUUCAAAUUACAAAUAGUCGUUGGAAGCUUCAAGAGAUAUGAGCAACCAACUAGACACAACUCCUGAAGGCCAACCAAAUGUCCAAUUGAUGAAGCUAUUUUCUCUAUCGGAGUCGCACUUAAGUCAAUCGAGGACACAUUCUUCAUCUGCUCCCCAAAUUCUGGAAUCUUUUUCACAUCUGAGUUGCUAAGACUUAAAGGUUCCAGAGAAUCCAUUUUAAGCACACUUGGGAGGCUCUCAAGUUUUGAGCAGCAUUCAAAAUUCAAAAUUCAAAAGUUCAAGUUUUUUAAGAUGUGCAAUAGACGGGUGUAUCUCAACUAAAUUGAAACAACCUCGAAGAUUCAACUUCACAAGAUUUGGAACACCACUGAAAUCCGGGGUACUCUUCAAUUUACCUGAGUUGCUAAGAUCGAUCCAUCUUAAGUUGGGCAAGUCCUGUACAACAUCGAUAAGAUUCAGAUCAUAUAAAUAAAUAAAUAAAUGAUAAUUUUGUAUAUUAAAUAGCAUUUAUUCAAGGAUGAAUAAUAAUUAAGUACUCACUAGUGAGUACUCUAUAUGCUCAUUUUUGUUUUGGUUCGUGUUCUUUAUUUUUAAAGCCAAAGAAAAAUUAAAUAGCAUGUCCAUUAUUUUUGAAAAUAAUAAAAUAUACUUGUCCAAAAAGUGAGUACUGAUUAGUCACUACCCAAGUGGUAUCCUUUUAUUCAAAACUACUCUCAUCACUUAAUUUUUUUUAAUGGUAAAAAUACUACUCUUACCACUUUUCCCUCCCAUAACCGAACAAGACUGCUUCCAUACAUGUGAAGUUCAGUAAGGUGGCGCAUGUGAAAGUUGGUUGGAAGAAAAUUAGAAGGAUAUUGAAACCACCAUAUAUAUCUCAAUGAACACGGAAGAAAUUUAGGGCCUGAAGAAAAGAUCGAAUUCAAAUUAUCGACUCUCAAAAUCCUCAGUCUAUCCAUCUUAGAGAAGGCUUCCCAAUUCCACUCGACCACUUCUGAUCUAGGCAAGGUUAAUGAUAUGACUUCAAUUGCACUCAAAUCCUGACAAUUAAGGAAAAAGGACAAAUUAAUUUCACAUUCAAGUAUAAUAGUGUCAAAAGUUCUUUCAAACUUGGUAUUUAACUUCUUACCGUAUUGGUCCUGAAUACAUGAGAAAUGUCAUCAUAGAGCCACAACCUACUGCGUAGACCAGGCUCUUUAGACUUGUGGCCAAUAAUUGUCAAUGCCAUUUCUUCUAUCAAAUCAUGCAUCCGUAUGCAUUUUUGGUGAUCUUGAUAGAGGAAAGAUCUCUCAAUUAGUACAUCUAUCACAAUAUGGCUAGAGAUUCCAAAAGAAUUAGAACUAUCUAGAAUUUCAAUUACUUGCUUCCUGUAAUACCCUUUGUAGAAAC